GAUGAACGCUGGCGGCGUGCCUAAUACAUGCAAGUCGAGCGGACGGACGAGAAGCUUGCUUCUCUGAUGUUAGCGGCGGACGGGUGAGUAACACGUGGAUAACCUACCUAUAAGACUGGGAUAACUUCGGGAAACCGUAGCUAAUACCGGAGAAUAUUUUGAACCGCAGGGUGCAAAAGAGAAAGACGGUCUUGCGGUCACUUAUAGAUGGAUCCGCGCUGCAUUAGCGAGUUGGUAAGGUAACGGCCUACCAAGGCAACGAUGCAUAGCCGGCCUGAUAGGGUGUACGGCCCCCCUGGACCUGACACGCGGCCCAGGCUCCUACGGGAGGCAGCGGCAGCGACUCUUCCGCGAUGGGCGGAAGCCUGCACGAGCAACGCCGCGCGAGUGAUGCAGGUCUUCGUGUCGUAUGACUCUCUUCUUGGGGAAGACCACUUUCGUAAGUAACUGUGCACGACUUACCGGUACCGAUUCAGAAAGCCCCGCUUACCUCCUU
rnacentral:rRNA from 1 species